AUGCGCGUCGAGCGGAAACGACACUAACAAUCCUUCGGGUGCGUUAAUGGGCGUCGAGCGGCGGACGGGUGAGUAAUGCCUAGGAAAUUGCCUUGAUGUGGGGGAUAACCAUUGGAAACGAUGGCUAAUACCGCAUAAUGCCUACGGGCCAAAGAGGGGGACCUUCGGGCCUCUCGCGUCAAGAUAUGCCUAGGUGGGAUUAGCUAGUUGGUGAGGUAAUGGCUCACCAAGGCGACGAUCCCUAGCUGGUCUGAGAGGAUGAUCAGCCACACUGGAACUGAGACACGGUCCAGACUCCUACGGGAGGCAGCAGUGGGGAAUAUUGCACAAUGGGCGAAAGCCUGAUGCAGCCAUGCCGCGUGUAUGAAGAAGGCCUUCGGGUUGUAAAGUACUUUCAGUUGUGAGGAAGGGUGUGUAGUUAAUAGCUGCGCAUCUUGACGUUAGCAACAGAAGAAGCACCGGCUAACUCCGUGCCAGCAGCCGCGG
rnacentral:rRNA from 1 species